GUCCCUAUAGCGCAAUGGACAUAGCGCUUUGAACUUCUAAUUCAAAGGUUAUGGAUUCGAAUCCCACUUGGGAUG